GACGAACGCUGGCGGCGUGCUUAACACAUGCAAGUCGAACGGAAAGGCCCUGCUUGCAGGGUACUCGAGUGGCGAACGGGUGAGUAACACGUGGGUGAUCUGCCCUGCACUUCGGGAUAAGCUUGGGAAACUCGGUCUAAUACCGGAUAGGACCGCACCUUCGUGUGGGUGGUGGAAAGUUUUUUCGGUUGAGGAUGAGCUCGCGGCCUAUCAGCUUGUUGGUGGGGUAAUGGCCUACCAAGGCGGCGACGGGUAGCCGGCCUGAGGGGGUGACGGCCACAAUGGGACUGAGAUACGGCCCAGACUCCCACGGGAGGCAGCAGGGGGGAAUAUUUCACAAUGGGCGCAAGCCUGAUGCAGCGACGCCGCGUGGGGGAUGAAGGCCUUCGGGUUGUAAACUCCUUUCGCUAGGGACGAAGCUUUUUGUGACGGUACCUAGAUAAGAAGCACCGGCUAACUACGUG
rnacentral:rRNA from 1 species